AUUCUUUCUUCCUUUUAGGAGAAUGUUACAAUGUUUUUCUAGACUAUGUGCUGAGUUUCUUAAUACUGGUUAUGUGUACUUGCGUUUAGAUUUCUAUCUCCAGAUGAUGUUGUUAAUUUUGUUGUUUGAAAAGACCACACACCCCAUUUACUUGGCACUGGCCAAGCUGUUUUCAGGUUUGAGCUGGAAUACAAACUCUAUCAAUCAGUGUCGGCAACAGCUGCAUUUGACAAGUCCCUGUCCGCCAGGCUUAAGCCCUCCAACUGUCUGUGGAGACUCCUCCCCGUCUGCUACCUCACUCCUCGCCCAGCCACGCUCUGCGGCCUCACCCGCUGCUUCCUGCUGGUUGAUGUCUAUACAGACGUGGACAGACUGAGUUCUUCAGGCAUGUCAGGCUGUUUCACAUACACAAGAUUAAGUAGCAAAAGUGACAUCCAAGACCAAUCGGGCCACCCAGGAGAACUGCAACCAGCGGAAAGGCUGUCAGAGCCCCCCUUUACACCAUUAAUCUUCAAGCUUCUCCUGUGCUGCCAACUCACAUCUCCUUCAAAUGGGACAGGAGAGUGAGAGAGGGAGGGAAAUGGAGAAAAACAGGACCACCUCACUCACACCAUCUCUGUGGUGGUAGAUGAAUGGGCCUCAUUAAAGCAAAAUGGAGAUUCCAGCACUGAAGUGUGGGGAUGGCCCUUGGACCUUUCAAUUCUUUCACUUAUC